rnacentral:lncRNA from 1 species
UAUGCAAUCAGUCUUCUCAAAUUGAGUAAAGGAAGAGUUAAUAGCAUCAACAGUAAGCAGGAAGCUGCUAGCCUUAUGCAUAUGAUGGAAUGAAUAAUUUACUAUCUUCGGGGAAAUGCAAACUGCAGUAGAAUUCAAGCAACCCUAUCAGAAAGUAAAUCAAUGUUUAACUUGGUAACAGAAAUAAAAGUCACUGGAAGGAAGACACUUAAGGAUGACAAAUGCAGGACACUGCUUAGCAGCUCAGUUGUGUGAGAGAGAGACUGAGUUCUUGGGUGGAAAGGGUUAGUCCCCUGCAGUGAUAACAGUGCCUGCAUUCUGACGAUUGUCAGGUGACUUUCUGCUGAAAUGAUUGCUCAUGGGAUGGGGCAGCUUCUUUGCUGUCUGAAGCAAGAUACUUUCUCAGGGCUUUCAUGUAAGUUUUUUCUCUUAAUUGUCCUUGUAUGUUUUCCUGUUUGAUAUGGAUUAAAGGAACUAAAGAGUAAAACCUCAUAACUAGGUGUGUUCACUCAUGAAGGUUUUGUGGAAGUAGCAUUUGUAAAUACCGGUAAGGCAUAUUUUUAUACAGGAGUUUAAAUUUAAAAUAUGACUAUAUAAUUUUUCUGAACUGUUUAUCUCCGUUAGCAUCACCUCGUUCUUGUUGAGCUUGCCUUCGGAUGCUUGUGGUUAUAAGGCUGCUCUACGUACUGUGCAUGCACUUGGCUGAGAGAUGGGUGCGUGAAAAUAAUUAGCCAAGUUGGCCCUAUCAAUUUUUUCUACUGGUGUUUAAAUACCUACUGUAUUGAUACUUUAAAGUAAGAGUUCAUUGGAUUAUGUUGUCUAUUGCUAAAAAUGAAGAAAAAUUUUGUGACUUAUUGUAUUAAGAUAAGCCUUUGAAUAUAAAUUGGUUUGGUUCUGAUUUUACUAAAACUUUUCAUUUAGUAGGCAUUAUCUUAAAGAAUAUACUUUUAGGUAAAUCUAAAAUACUGUCUUGUUUGCUUUAAUAUGGUCUUCCUUAAACCAACAUACAUUUGAGCCAUUAACUGUUUUCUUAGUACCCAUAAGAAAAGAAAAUCUUUCCUUGAUGAAAAGGGUUUUCUGAAAAAUUAUUAUUGAUGUACCUUUUGCAUGUUAUUAAUAGUAAGAAAAAAAAUUUCUUAUCCCAGUUUUGAGUAAUACCUUGAUUUUGGAUAAAGCAUUUCUCUUUUCAGAAAUUACCACUUUCUCUUUGAGUUUUUCUUCUUAAAAAAGAAUUUAUGAAUUUAUUUCACUGAUAAACUAAACUUUAAUAUAAAUCAUGUAGGUUAAAUGGCUGGUUGUGGCCACACAAUUUUUACUUAUUUAUUAUUAUUUACUAUGUUGUAUAUAUAGGGAAAAAUAGUAAUAGAGUGUGUCUCUGUAAACCUUGUUGGUUAUUGCUAAGUAUAAAACAAUCUCAUAUCAGUGGGUACAUAUAUAUCUUUUUAUUUAUAACUUUUGGGCUUUUCUCCAGCUGGUAUAAAUGACCAGUCUUAAUUAAAUGAAUCUUGAGUAUUUCCCCUGAACUUUUUUUGACUAUAGUUCUCCUAAAUGGGAGGUUAGACCUCAUGAAAUUAAUUCUGUUAGCCAUGUAUCUUAACUCUCUAUACUUCAUUUUCACUAUUGUUUUUAAAAAAAAAAUACAGUCUUAAAAUGCAGGUUGCAUUCUUUGAUUGUAUAGCUCAGGAAAUAUUUAAGUUAUAAAAUCAUCAAGUUUCCAGAAUGAGGAUCUAGCUAGGACGCAUGUAUAAAUACAUUUUGAACAUUUCAAAGCCCCUUUUAGUUAAUGCGAAGUUCUUCAGAUGGCCCUAUUGUCCUUCGAAGCGUCUAACACCAAGGUGUCUGUUGCAGCCCAGAGCAAGGUUACUGCUACGCAGGACAGCACUAAUUUGCGAUGUAUUUUCUGUGGUAAGCAACAUUAUGUUUACAUUACUUUUUCAAGCUGUGGUACAUACUACUUGCACAUAGCCAUAACUUUUGUUUCUCUAGGCCAUAGUCUGGUUUGUGGUAUUUGAGAUAUGAAGCAGGCUUCUGCAUAAUGUGGUGACAGUUGUUGUGUUCAUGAAGGUCAUUUUGGGUUAGCUUUUGAGUUGGCUUAUUUGUGAGGAUUUAACUAGAAAUAAAAUCUUAAAAUAUUCUUUCACCUCUUCCAAUAUAAAUGAGAGAGAUUUAUUUUUUUAAUUAUAAUUUUCUUGUGAAUAGACAUCUGGUCUAAUUUAGGAGGAAAAGGCAUGCAUUCCUCAUGACUUGAGUAGGUGAGUGUGCAUUGUUGGGAAGGAGUUCUGUUUCCCUCGACGUAGUUCCAGCUGUGCGGAUUGUAGAGGCAGACGGAGCCUGCUCUCUCAGUGCGUUGCUUUCAGAGGACAGCGUGCUUUAUUUAGUUUCUGUGCCUUAGAAGUGAGUUUAGGUUUAUAGAUUAUUUUCUGUCAUGCUCACUCUAAUAAAUAUACAUGUAUCUAUAUACAUGUAUUAUUUGCAUGAAUAAAUUAGGUAUAUCACUUAGUCACUCCAUGCUAGAGCUGAUCAAUCAUAUGUAUAUAUAUUUCAUAUAUAUAUAAAUUUCUUUUAUAUAUAUAUACACAUAUAUAUAUCUUUGCACAGGGAAAUUUUUAUAUAGAUUAGUAUGUAGAUACAUUUUGUUUGAAUUCUUUUUUUCUAUUUGAUUCUGAAACAUCCUAGUUUAGAAACCCAAAUUUCAAAAUAAAGUGUUUCUUAUUUUAAUUUUUUUGAUUCACGUAUGAUAUGCCUUUUUGACUCCUACCUUGACUAGACUAUUUCGUAAGAGAAAAUUAUAAAAUGGUAUGCUACAAAAAAUUUUGAAUUAAUAGUUCAGCUAGUGUAUGUACUUUUUCUAUGUAACUCGGAAUUUUUAGUGUGACUUCUUAGUAUUGUUGAUAUGGUUUCUGGCUUUUAAGUUUCUAUGCUUGGAUUAGAUAAGCAUGUU